rnacentral:rRNA from 1 species
AGAGUUCGAUCCUGGCUCAGGAUGAACGCUGGCGGCGCGCCUAACACAUGCAAGUCGAACGGCACCCACCCUCGGGUGGAAGCGAGUGGCGAACGGCUGAGUAACACGUGGAGAACCCGCCCCCUCCUCCGGGAUAGCCUCGGGAAACCGUGGGUAAUACCGGAUGACCCCGCAGGGCCGCAUGGCCCCGCGGGCAAAGCCCAGACGGGAGGGGAUGGCUCCGCGGCCCAUCAGGUAGACGGCGGGGUGACGGCCCACCGUGCCGACGACGGGUAGCCGGGUUGAGAGACCGACCGGCCAGAUUGGGACUGAGACACGGCCCAGACUCCUACGGGAGGCAGCAGUGGGGAAUCUUGCGCAAUGGGGGGAACCCUGACGCAGCGACGCCGCGUGCGGGAUGAAGGCCCUCGGGUCGUAAACCGCUUUCAGCAGGGAUGAGACAAGACGGUACCUGCAGAAGAAGCCCCGGCUAACUACGUGCCAGCAGCCGCGGUAAUACGUAGGGGGCGAGCGUUAUCCGGAUUCAUUGGGCGUAAAGCGCGCGUAGGCGGCCCGGCAGGCAGGGGGUCAAAUGGCGGGGCUCAACCCCGUCCCGCCCCCUGAACCGCCGGGCUCGGGUCCGGUAGGGGAGGGUGGAACACCCGGUGUAGCGGUGGAAUGCGCAGAUAUCGGGUGGAACACCGGUGGCGAAGGCGGCCCUCUGGGCCGAGACCGACGCUGAGGCGCGAAAGCUGGGGGAGCGAACAGGAUUAGAUACCCUGGUAGUCCCAGCCGUAAACGAUGGACGCUAGGUGUGGGGGGACGAUCCCUCCGUGCCGCAGCCAACGCAUUAAGCGUCCCGCCUGGGGAGUACGGCCGCAAGGCUAAAACUCAAAGGAAUUGACGGGGGCC